rnacentral:misc_RNA from 1 species
AAUGUCGUAACAAGGUUUCCGUAGGUGAACCUGCGGAAGGAUCAUUAAAAUGUAAGUUGGUUAUACGUAUCCUGGUAUCAACUGCACAAAUCCCAUUCCGAGUACCUUGCCUGUUGCUUCCAUGGGGCCCUGACUUUGGGUCACUCUUGUGAUGCGAAUCCCAAGAGAGUCCCCAAUUGGGGGGAUAAUCAUUAAAUUCAUGAUCCAAUGUCUUCUGUCUGAAACUGUUAAAAAGCAAAUGUAAAAC